rnacentral:rRNA from 1 species
GUGCAGCAGCCGCGGUAAUACCGGCAGCUCAAGUGAUGUCCCAUAUUAUUGGGCCUAAAGCGUCCGUAGCUGGCCGACCAAGUCUCCCGGGAAAUCCACCCGCUCAACGGGUGGGCGUCCGGUAGAAACUGGCCGGCUUGGAACCGGAAGGCUCAGAGAGUACGUCCGGGGUAGGAGUGAAAUCCUGUAAUCCCGCACGGACCACCGAUGGCGAAAGCACCUCGAGAAGACGGCUCCGACGGUGAGGGACGAAAGCCAGGGUCUCGAACCGGAUUAGAUACCCGAGUAGUCC